rnacentral:rRNA from 1 species
GAUGAACGCUAGCGGCAGGCUUAAUACAUGCAAGUCGAGGGGCAGCAUGACUGUAGCAAUACAAUUGAUGGCGACCGGCAAACGGGUGCGGAACACGUACACAACCUCCCAAUAAGUGGGGAAUAGCCCAGAGAAAUUUGGAUUAAUACCCCGUAACAUAACGAUGUGGCAUCACAUUGUUAUUAUAGAUUUUUCGCUUAUUGAUGGGUGUGCGGCUGAUUAGAUAGUUGGCGGGGUAACGGCCCACCAAGUCUACGAUCAGUAGCUGAUGUGAGAGCAUGAUCAGCCACACGGGCACUGAGACACGGGCCCGACUCCUACGGGAGGCAGCAGUAAGGAAUAUUGGACAAUGGACGCAAGUCUGAUCCAGCCAUGCCGCGUGAAGGAUUAAGGUCCUCUGGAUUGUAAACUUCUUUUAUAAGGGACGAAAAAAGGCUUUUCUAAGUCGUCUGACGGUACCUUAUGAAUAAGCACCGGCUAACUCCGUGCCAGCCGCCGCGGUAAGAC